rnacentral:lncRNA from 1 species
UGUGAUGCCCUGCAUCUGAACAGUAGCCUACACUACCUUGACGUUGGCUGCAAUAAAAUAACUCAUGAUGGGAUGGUGUAUUUUGCUGUCAUACUGAAAAGCAAUACUACCCUGGAAAUAAUAGAUGUCUUUUAACAGAAUAGAAAAUGUAGGCACUAUCUCAGUGAAACUCUUACUUCACACAUGAGGAGUCUUAAAGUGUUGUCAGCAGUCAGCAAAAACAUGGAUGGAGAACUUGUUGCACUUUAACAAUCAAUGAAAACAAAUUCCACAUUCUCCAUUCUCUAAUAUCUACCUUUGGGGAAAAAAACACAUUUGUUAGGGCUAUAUGCAUGGCAUAUUCAGACUUAAUUCAAAUGGGGCGUCUAAAAACAGACAAUGUGGAUGUGGAGCCAUUUGUGGUGACAAACGCAUGUGUCUUACAGAAGUCUCCAAUGGCCUUAAAAGGCAUUAUUACUGGACACCAACCUAGGGAGAAGCUUACGACCAUUCAUUUCAUGUAGGUUUUGCUCUUGUUCCAGUAGGUCAACAUCUAUGGAAAAGAAGCUCUAAA